rnacentral:snoRNA from 2 species
UGUAUCAAAGGAUGAAACCUUGACACAAUCUUAGGACACCUUCUGACACAGUGCUUGCACUGUGAAUGAGAAGGCAAUUAUUUUCUGAUGAUACU